AAUGGGGGAAACCCUGACGGAGCGACGCCGCGUGAGGGAAGAAGGUUUUCGGAUUGUAAACCUCUGUUCUAUGGGAAGAAGAAGUGACGGUACCAUAGGAGUAAGCCCCGGCUAACUACGUGCCAGCAGCCGCGGUAACACGUAGGGGGCAAGCGUUGUCCGGAAUUACUGGGCGUAAAGGGCGCGUAGGCGGCCUAUUAAGUUAGAGGUGAAAGGCCAGGGCUCAACCCUGGAGUUGCCUCUAAAACUGGCAGGCUUGAGUGCAGGAGAGGGAAGUGGAAUUCCUAGUGUAGCGGUGAAAUGCGUAGAUAUUAGGAGGAACAUUAGUGGCGAAGGCGGCUUCCUGGCCUGUAACUGACGCUGAGGCGCGAAAGCGUGGGUAGCAAACAGGAUUAGAUACCCUGGUAGUCCACGCCGUAAACGAUGAGUGCUAAGUGUUGGAGGUAUCGACCCCUUCAGUGCUGCAGUUAACGCAAUAAGCACUCCGCCUGGGGAGUACGGUCGCAAGACUGAAACUCAAAAGAAUUGACGGGGGCCCGCACAAGCGGUGGAGCAUGUGGUUUAAUUCGACGCAACGCGAAGAACCUUACCAGGACUUGACAUCCUCUGAUUGAUCUAGAGAUAGAUAGUUCUCUUCGGAGACAGAGAGACAGGUGGUGCAUGGUUGUCGUCAGCUCGUGUCGUGAGAUGUUGGGUUAAGUCCCGCAACGAGCGCAACCCUUACCGUUAGUUGCCAGCACGUAAAGGUGGGAACUCUAGCGGAACUGCCGUUGACAAAACGGAGGAAGGUGGGGAUGACGUCAAAUCAUCAUGCCCCUUAUGUCCUGGGCAACACACGUGCUACAAUGGUCUGUGCUGAGGGAAGCGAAGCCGCGAGGUGAAGCAAACCCCAAAAAGCAGAUCUUAGUUCGGAUUGCAGGCUGCAACUCGCCUGUAUGAAGUCGGAAUCGCUAGUAAUCGCAGGUCAGCAUACUGCGGUGAAUACGUUCCCGGGCCUUGUACACACCGCCCGUCACACCACGAAAGUUGACAACACCCGAAGCCGGUGGUCUAACUACGGAAGAAGCCGUCGAAGGUGGGGUUGAUGAUUGGGGUG
rnacentral:rRNA from 1 species